UACAGAGGUCUCAAGCGUUGUUCGGAUUCAUUGGGCGUAAAGGGUGCGUAGGUGGCGCCGUAAGUCAGGUGUGAAAUCUCGGGGCUCAACCCCGAAACUGCACUUGAUACUGCGGUGCUCGAGUACUGGAGAGGAGAUUGGAAUUUACGGUGUAGCAGUGAAAUGCGUAGAUAUCGUAAGGAAGACCAGUGGCGAAGGCGGUCUGCUGGGCAGUUGCUGACACUGAGGCGCGACAGCGUGGGGAGCAAACAGG
rnacentral:rRNA from 1 species